UCCGCCCGCCUCGGCCUCCCAAAGUGCUGGGAUUACAGGCUUGAGCCACCGCGCCCGGCCUUAUUUUGUAUUUUUAAUAGAGACGAGGUUUCACCAUGUUGGCCAGGCUGGUCUCAAACUCCCGACCUCAAGUGAUCCGCCCUUCUCAGCCUCCCAAAGUGCUGGGAUUACAGGCGUGAGCUACCGCGCCUGGCCAGACAUGUUUUCAACGGACUCUGCCCACACCACAGCACCCUAGUGGGCUUGAGCAACGGGCAAACCCUCCUUAGCUUUCCGGUGCUUCACUUGCAAAAAUGGGUUUGAUAAUACUAAUACUCGGGCCUGAUGUCAGAUGGAUGACAGAAGUGGCGUAACAGGCACGAAAAUUCCCAGCACCACGCUGGCCCCGGCAAAAGUUCAGAGAGUGCUCUUAUCUCACAGCUUGCCGGGAAUAAAAGGAAAAAACAGAAAAGAUUCCCUUUAUUUGUUGUUAGUGCAUUCACAGGCAUCCCUAAGGCAUGGCCACCCCCAGCCCUGCGGAUAAAAAAUGUCACCAUAGACGUGAAUGUUUUUCUUCCUUAGUGUUCUAUAAUUCAGACUUGAUGCCAGACCAAACUGAUCUUAACCUCGAUCAGGGGCUGUAUUUGAGAAAGUUUCACCGUGAACCAUUCUGAAGUUUCUUUUAAGAAGAGAUAAAGAUAAGACAUUAUUAAGCAAUCCUAAAACUCGGUUUGGCUUUGGGGUGAAUUGUGCAGUGUUUUGGAGGACUUUUUUUUUUUUUUAGGUUUUUUUUUUAGUUUUUUUAAACAGGGUAGAAAGAGAAUAAAAUUUACAUUGUCCAUGAUGUUUUCCUUAGAAUGACAGUGAAAUGAGUUUGGAUCCUCUGAACACACAUCAGUUGAGCAAUAGAGGAAGCAGCCCGGCUGCUGUACUCGCCUGGAAUUAAAACUCUGCCACCGACCGUCCCUCACAGUGCCUAACUCACAUGGAACUAAGCAGGAACUGGCUGCAUGUGAUGGAAACACUUUAACCUGUGUACAUAUCCAGCAUAUUUAUUCAAUCUACCCUUUUGUCAGAUAGCUUUUGUUUCAUUUUGUCAAAAUCUGUUUGAUCCUAUAAAAACCACCACCGCCGUCCUUCCACCCUGCUUUGGCCUCAAACUACUCAAACUAGCGCCUCACCUCAUUCCAUCCUUUCACUCCCUGACAGCGUCACCCACGUUUGCUCUUUCCUCAUACUCACUCCCCAGAGCCUUGCACUGUGGGUUUUGUCCCCAUCACACCCCAGAAGCUGCCCCCUCAAAAGCCACAAUGGCCAUCAGAAGACUGAAAGAGUGUGCCUAGGCCUCAAGAUCCCCAAUUCUUCUUCAGCACAUAGCACUGUUCCUGCAGCUGCUGAGACAAUGCUACCUGGUUUUUAUUUGGUAUCAUUGCUUCCUAUUUGAACAAAAAACAUUCACUGUGCUCCCGCCCUGUGCCAUUCACUCAUUCCUUCACCAAACACUUGUGGAAGUACCUGCCCUCAGAGCAAUUACUCCCUAGUGGGGAGACAGACAAUAAAAAUGAAUCCGUGAACACAGAGCAUUGGGUGGGCUUCAUAGCAGGUGGUAGGGAGGAGUUGGGAAGGGCUGCUCUGGAUUAUGGGGGCCCCUCUUGUGCCUGAAGGAAGUACAGGUGGCAUAAGCCAGGCAGACAUCAGGGAAAGGGCAUUCCAAGCAGAGGGAGAAAGUGCACAGGCCCUGAGAGGAGAUGAGCCUGAAGUAAGCCAGUGUCACUAGGGCCAACAAGGCAGCGAGAAAUGGGAGCCGGGGCAAAGCCCCUAAAGGGUGCUGAGCAGAGAAGUGGCAUAACCUAAGGUGCAUUCCAAAAGAGCUGCCAUGGCGGGAAUCAUCUGUAAGGAGUAAGAUCAGAAGCAGGGAGACCAGUUGGAGGCAACUGCAUUAAUCCAGGGGACAGGGGGUGGUGGCUGGGACCAGGGUGAGAGCAGAUGAAGUGGUGAGAAAUGAUCCUGGAUCUGCCUUGAAGAUGGUAUCCACAGGGACGUGGAGAUACAGGGUGUGAAGCAUGUGAGAGAAACAGGGUUUCAGGUUGAGCAACCAGAAUGUGGAGUUGCCAGCGCAGCUUCAGGGGAGAUGACCAGGAGCUCAGUCUCACAGACACAUGUAUAAGAUGCUAAUCAGGUGUCCAAUGGACACGUCCAGAUUCCCUUAGAGAAGCAAGUCUGUAGGUCAGGAGCGAGGCCUGGACUGAAGAUGCAAAUUUGGGAGUCUUCAAGCUCUAAAUGGUAUUUAAAGCCAUGGUCUAGAUGAAUCAGCGAAGAGAUUGAGUGUGGAUGGUGAAGAGGGAAAGGAAUGAGUGCCGAAGCACUCCAAACUUCAGAAAAUGAGAGUACAGGCCGGGCGCGGUGGCUCACGCCUGUGAUCCCAACGCUUUGGGAGGCCGAGGUGAGCAGAUCACCUGAGGUCAGGAGUUCGAGACCAGCCUGACCAACAUGAUGAAACCCCAUCUCCACUAAAAAUACAAAAAUUAGCCAGGUGUGGUGGCGGGCGCCUGUAAUCCCAGCUACUGGGGAGGCUGUGGCAGGAGAAUCGCUUGAACCCGGGAGGUGGAGGUUGCAGUAAGCCAAGAUCAUGCCACCGUACUCCAGCCUGGACAACGAGAGUGAAACUCUUGUCUUAAAAAAAAAAAAAAAGAAAGAAAAGAAAAGAAAAAAGAAAAUGAGAGUACAAGGAAGAAGCAGUAAAGGUAAUGAGAAGGGGAGGGGCAGCGUGAGGAGGAGGAGGACAACCGAGAGGCAGUGGAGACCCUGUUCCAGGGCCCAGAGCUCUGGGUUGCCAGAAAUGCUGCUAGCCGGCUGGACGAUGGGAGGAAAGGUAACAGUCACUGACCUUCGUAGUGUGCAGGCCAUUUGGUAGCCUUAAUAAGAGUUGUUUUGGAGAAAUGAUGUCAGUCAAAGCCUGUUUGGAAUGGGCAGCAGAGAAAAGUGGGAAGAUGGAAUUGGAGACAGCAAGCUUGUACAACUCCUUCCGGGAACCUGCUGUGAAGGGAGUCAGAGAAACAGACCACAGAGGAAGUGGGAUCAUAAGAAGUUUUGUUUCAGAUGGGAGAAAUUACAACAGGUUUGUAUUCUAAAAGGCAUGAUUCAGCUCAAGAUUGGGAAAUACUGGCACUGCAGGAGAGAGAGAAUUGAUCAGCGAUGUCCCUAACAAGCGAGAGGGGAUGGGGUUCCCGCGCAAAGCACACAGCAUGGCCUCAGAUCACAGCAGGGACAAUUCAGCCACUGUAAAGGGGGACAGUGGAGAACAGGUGCGGAAGCAGGUCGGGAGGUGGGUGGAAGUUCCCUUCUGAUUACUUGGUUUUUUCCCCCGUCGGGAAAUGAGAAGAAAGGUCAUCAGUGAAAGCUGAAAAGGAGGAAGAAAGAGUUAGUAAUGGGAGGAGAGAGGUGAUGGUGGGUGUGAACUAACGGUUCAGGAGGUUGGGAGAGUAAGCCAACUGGGGAAAUGAAAUAUAUGACUCCUGGACAGCAUUAUGGGCCCACCUAAAUUUCUGGGUCAUCAAUUUAUUUUACUUUUUUCUUUUUCUUUUUUUUUUUUUUCCUUGAGAUGGGAUCUCACUCUGUCACCCAGGCUGGAGUGCAGUGGCGUGAUCAUGGCUCAGUGCAACCUCUGCCUCCCGUGUUCAAGCCAUCCUUCUGCCUCAGCCUCCUGAGUAGCUGGAACUACAAGCAUCUGCCACCACAUCCCACUAAUUUGUGUAUUUUUUGCAGACAUGGGGUUUUGCCAUGUUGCCCAGGCUGGUCUCAAACUCCAGGGCUCAAGGGAUCCUCUUGCCUCAGCCUCCCAAAGUGCUGAGAUUACAAGUGGGGGCCAAUGUGCCCAGCUCAGAUCAUGAAUUUAAACUGAGACCAGUGAGCACAAUUGCAUGUUUUUCUCACUGGGUGAGGCAUGAUGGGAAGGCAUGAUGGGAAGGGUGAGGCAUGAUGGGAAGGUUGUUGUAGCAAUAGAUUGUAGGCCCAGAUGGGAUUGAGGAAUUGUUGGAAUCCAAAACCCAGAGGGAGUAAUCUGGGAAGACAGGGCCUUGGUGGUCAGAAUGGGAUUCCUGAAACAGAUCUGUGGGAGCUGCAGUGAUUUGUAAGACAUGCUUUAUGAUCUGACCUCAGCCAGUGAGGGCAAUGACUUCCAUGAAGGUUUCCUGGAAAGUUUCAGUUAAAACAAGGUGGCCAAGGGAUUGUUUAGAAAAGAGGUUGAGGAGGUAGAUCUUGCCUGAUCAUAGACAGAAUUCCAGAAAGUGUGGAAAGAUGGUGCUUCUCAGACUGCAUUUUCUCUAUCCAAUAUUAUCUCACCUUGUCUCUGCAUCCUCCAGCCUCAUCUUCUCAGGACGAGGCACUGGCCACAUAUUGCCUGUCCUCAGGACCUUCUAGUGCCUGGCAAUCAAGGUGGCUGCUGUCUGGCCCCAAAUGACCUUCCUGAAGAUGGUUCCCAUAGAGCCCUCAUCUACACAGCCCUGCAGCUCACUCCGACCUGCCCAGGACCGCCCGCCUCCUUGCCUUGCUCUGUUUCUGCCUACAGGGAUCCUACUUAUCCCUCAGCCUCUCUUCAAAUCCAACCUCCUCCAAGUUUUCUCAGCCCCCUCUCAUCAUCAUUAAUCUCUUGACCCUGGUUCUCCCGUGACAAUUUUCAUCCUUCUGUCCUUCCGCAUAACAUGUGCCUCUCUGUGUCUUGUAUCACAGCUACAAUUCGAGCUUCCCCACUUGACUGUGAGCUCUCUGAGGCAUGGCCUGUGUUUUAUUUCUUUUUCUGACCACCACAGUAUCUUACACAGUUCCCUGAACACAGUGGGUUUUUGCCUAGCCAACGGUUGAAGGUUUAAUUAGACAUGUAUCCCCAGAACACAGAAAAACAUUUUAAAUAAUUCUGUGCCAUACUCAUCUCAGGGCAAUUGAUAAUGUGCUUGGUGGAUGCUUUUUUGUGACACUGCCUCUGUGCCCAGAGGCAAGUCGUCCCCGAGCUGAGAACAGGGGAUGGGAAGGGACAGUCAGCUCCAGGAUCCGGGAGGAGAACAGACCUCUUAUUCCUGCCCGGAAAAGUACAAAUCCCUCUCCUACCCCCAAAACCCCCAAAACAAGACCUGAACAAGAUAAAGUUAUUAUAUACAGAGAAUAUUUGGCAUUCUGAAUGUGUUCUUGUUUGGUUGCUAUUCGUAUUUAUCAGGAGGGAAAACAAGUAUUAUUCAACUAUGUUCCUGCUAAAGAAAAACAGCAAUCGCAACAGAAAUGGAAGCUUGAUUCAGAAUGCAGCCAAUUCCCGAAGCUUGCCCAGGGCUUUGCUUCAUUGCAGCUCUGAGCCCUGUUCCUGAGCAUGGUCCCCAGCUCCCUGGGUGUGGAACACACUGGGAAAGAGUGGAUGAGAGAAGGAAGGGAUGAGCCAGCGAGUGAGCCGCUCCUGACACUAUGUGUUCAGUUUUGAGCCCAGAGCUCCUCCCCAGGUAGGACGAGGCCCGGAGCUCAGGGCUGAGACCCCACGUCCUGUUGAAGGCUUUUCCCCAUGUGUCUGAGGCCUCACCAAGUCCUCUGACCUGCCAUAGCUUUUCUCUCCGGUCUUAGAGUCAAGAAGGGGAUAGGACUAUAUACAGGGCAGUGAAGGCACAGCUCAGCCAUGCAACAGUGCUGGUCCCGUGGCCAGUCUGUGAUAGGCACCUUCCUGGUGAAGACCAAGGGCAGACGAGGCCCCCGGGUCUCCAUCCCUCCUCCCAGCAGUCCCCGAGCGCAGCUCCAGCACUCACUCACCCUGUGCUUGUUGAGGUUGUGUCUCUCCACGCAGGCCCCUUUGAGGCAGAGCUCACAGCAGCGAACGAGUCCGGCUCGGCGUUCACGUCCCCAGAAUAGAAGCAGC
rnacentral:lncRNA from 10 species